rnacentral:rRNA from 1 species
GACGAACGCUGGCGGCGUGCUUAACACAUGCAAGUCGAACGGAAAGGCCCUGCUUGCAGGGUACUCGAGUGGCGAACGGGUGAGUAACACGUGGGUGGUCUGCCCUGCACUUCGGGAUAAGCCUGGGAAACUGGGUCUAAUACCGGCUAGGAGCCAUUUUUAGUGUGAUGGUUGGAAAGUUUUUUCGGUGUAGGAUGAGCUCGCGGCCUAUCAGCUUGUUGGUGGGGUAAUGGGCUACCAAGGCGGCGACGGGUAGCCGGCCUGAGAGGGUGGACGGCCACAUUGGGACUGAGAUACGGCCCAGACUCCUACGGGAGGCAGCAGUGGGGAAUAUUGCACAAUGGGCGCAAGCCUGAUGCAGCGACGCCGCGUGGGGGAUGACGGCCGUCGGGUUGGAAACUCCUUUCGCUAGGGACGAAGCUUUUUGUGACGGUACCUAGAUAAGAAGCACCGGCUAACUACGUG